UACGUUAAAAUUAACCCAAAUUGAGCUAGGCAUUAAACCUACAAAUGUUGUUCAUUUUAAAUAUCACUUUUACACACAAACAAUAAUUACCAAAAGGAAAAUAUUUAUUAAAAACAAGAGAAAAGUCAAAAAGUAACAUGUUAGAAGAAAUGCAGAAAAGAAUGGCAUUAACAGCUACAGAGUUCAUAAAGCAUUGAACAUUUGAUGAAUAUAACUUAAGAUCAAAUUGGACUUUGUUCAAUUGUAUAUAUUGUAUAAAAAUAUACGAAAACAUACAAUACAUUUACAAUUAGUUAGGUUUUUUUCCAACUAUUCUGGCAUGACAGUACACAAAUAAAUCACAACAUUAACUUUGAUAUUAUAACAUUUAACAGACGCAUGUGUGUGUGUGUGUGUG